UGGCAAUGGCUUUUUAAAAAGAAAAUUUGAAAAAAAAAAUGUGCAAGAAGUUCUCCCCCCACCUUCUCUCUCUCCUAUCUCUCACUUCUCCCUCUCUUUUUCUUUCAUCUUCGGUGAGCCACCACCUACCGCCAGCGGCACCCUCUAAUAAUGACACUUCUUUCGGCAACCACCAUGAGGCCGUGAACGGCGACCAGGACCACCAAAAGCAGCGGUAAACGAGGGGUGAGAGAGAAAGACAAGCGCGCGAAGGCAAGAGCUUUCUGGCGUGAUUCCGGUGUCGUUCGACAUCGAAUGGACGUGAUUCUGGUGCCAUUGGAAUCCUCAUUCCACGAGCUUUCUUUUGGGACCAACUUUGCAUCAAAUGGUGGUCGGAGGAGAAAGUCAAGAAUGAGAGAAGUUUCAGGUUUUUCAAGCUUUCUGAUUAGAUCUCAGAUGAUCCGACCAUUGGAUCGACGAUCUAGUACCACCGUUGAACUCAACGCAGUAAAAUCUUCGAGUUAGGAUCAACACUGCUUUGAUCAGACAUUAUUUAAAAAAGGCGAUCAUUGGACGGUUCAGAUUGCUCGGUGGACAUUCGAACCUUUUUUAUUCUCAUAAAUUGAAAAUAAUUAUAUAAUAAUUGUUAACAAUUUAUGGGCUUCGUAUAGGUGCGAUUAGAUUGACGAUAGCUUACCAGCACUCAAGACCAAGUUUUCGGCUCGGUCCAGACGUCUGGCGGGCUAUCUCAGAAGGUGGUCAUGUUUAUAGUCAUUUCUAGUAUUUUCAAACAUUCUGGACGCAUUCCAGGUAGCAGAAUUUGCAAAGGCAGUCCCUAACUCAAGUUAUGUAUUUUUUACCUAAGAAUAAACUAGCUAAUUAAUCUGUAAAAUAUUUAUUGUUUAGUAAAAUUAAGAAAAACGAUUUUAAUUAAUACAAGGAUGAUGUAGAGGACUUCCAAGAAUAUUUUUAUUAUUUUUAAAAUGCUAAAAAUAAUUAUUUGAAUUGUAGAGAAGUUAGGGACUCGAGUUGGAGUUUAAAAUAUUAGACCUAAAUUAGGUUUCUUGUAGGCUUGAGAUAGGUAUUAUAAUUAUUAUUGUGAGCCUGAGGCCUUAUAUUAUUACUUUUGGUUGAGUUUUCGUGCAGGGAGUUAGGUCCAGUUAUAGGAGAGCUUUUGGAAAAAUUUUAGUAAGAUCUUAGGAUUUAUUUUUAAUUCUAUAGUUCAAAUUAAUUAGUUAAUUUUGUUAGUCUUUUGAUAAAGGUCAGUGUGUAUAUAUAUUUAGAUGAUCGGUGACAACCGUCUUCUCCUUCCAACCGGAUCAGCUGCAGUCAAGUCAAUCAGUCUAUGAGUUUGAUAUUGAUUUUAUUUGUAAUUUUAAUAUUAUUAAUUUAUAUUCAAGGUAGCUCAUACAUUCACUAAUAUGUAUUUAUGUAAUUAGUUAAAUGCUAGGCACACCCCUUUACUGCAUAUGUUAUUGAAUUUAUUUGUGGAUGUCGCCUUAAGAGAACUUGGAGCUGUGUAUAUGUGUUGGCGUGAGUAUAGUGUGUAUCUAGAUAUGGUUAGGAUGGGUAGUCACGGCUGGAGCUUGACUCACUGGGGCCCGAUCCUUAUAUAUGAAUAAGUCGAGGUGAGCACAGUUUUGAGUUGAUCUUGGUAGCCUCCGCACUUGGAUUAUUAAGCGAAAGUCCGGCUUGA
rnacentral:misc_RNA from 1 species